AUUGAACGCUGGCGGCAGGCCUAACACAUGCAAGUCGAGCGGAUGAAGGGAGCUUGCUCCUGGAUUCAGCGGCGGACGGGGGAGUAAUGCCUAGGAAUCUGCCUGGUAGUGGGGGAUAACGUCCGGAAACGGGCGCUAAUACCGCAUACGUCCUGAGGGGGAAAGUGGGGGAUCUUCGGACCUCACGCUAUCAGAUGAGCCUAGGUCGGAUUAGCUAGUUGGUGGGGUAAAGGCCUACCAAGGCGACGAUCCGUAACUGGUCUGAGAGGAUGAUCAGUCACACUGGAGCUGGGCCACGGUCCAGACGCCUGCGGGAGGCAGCAGUGGGGAAUAUGGGGCAGUGGUGGAAAGCCUGAUCCAGUCAGGCCGAGUGUGUGAAGAAGGUGUUCGGAUUGUAAAGCACGUUUUGUUGGGAGGAAGCGCAGUAAGUUAAUACGUUGCUGUUUUGACGUUACCAGCAGAAUAAGCGCCGGCUAACUUCGUG
rnacentral:rRNA from 1 species